CGCAGCGGCGUCGGAGGAACAUUAGCGUCUCGACGUCGACAACUUGACGACGCUUCGAGCGAUUCUGCAAAGAACAAGUUCUGUUGUUCAUUAAGUUUUUGGCCCCGGGUGUGUGCGACAAGGCUGAGAUGCCGACAGGAUUAUCGUAAAUUUCCAGAUGGAGCUUCUACACGACACAAAAGCCUCUUCAUGUCUCUGUCCCCAUCAUCAUCAUUAAAUACAUAUCAAAGCACUUUCUUGUUACAGUAUUUGCCAUUCCUUUUUUCCUGUCCCCGCCGUGGGCCAAAUCCGACGACAUCCCAACUGUCCAAAAGUAGACACGAGACAAGAGACCACCCCAGUCAUGAAACGUCUUUUUUCUCGAAACUGCAACAAACCACCUUUUAUAUUUCUGUGUACAACAAAUUUCAAGUAGACAUGUGAAACAAGAUCCAGUUGACCGUA